rnacentral:rRNA from 1 species
UGGGGAAUAUUGCACAAUGGGCGCAAGCCUGAUGCAGCAACGCCGCGUGAACGAUGAAGGUCUUCGGAUCGUAAAGUUCUGUUGCAGGGGAAGAUAAUGACGGUACCCUGUGAGGAAGCCCCGGCUAACUACGUGCCAGCAGCCGCGGUAAUACGUAGGGGGCUAGCGUUAUCCGGAUUUACUGGGCGUAAAGGGUGCGUAGGUGGUCUUUCAAGUCGGUGGUUAAAGGCUACGGCUCAACCGUAGUUAGCCUCCGAAACUGGAAGAAUUGAGUGCAGGAGAGGAAAGUGGAAGUCCCAGUGUAGCGGUGAAAUGCGUAGAUAUUGGGGGGAACACCAGUAGCGAAGGCGGCUUUCUGGACUGCAACUGACACUGAGGCACGAAAGCGUGGGUAGCAAACAAG